CUGAACACUGCGUAUAUAUCCUCUGUGAAAAGGUUUCAUUGUGAUCUGAUACAGAAGUGAACCAGCAGCGGAGUAUACAACUCUUCGGAAAAUUAAGCCAGAACACACCCCUAACUUCCAGGAAUUGAGCUGUGCAGUGUGGUAUGAGAAUCACGCUUCAAGGAAAACCUGGCCACCUGACACCACCAGAUGACCCACAGCCUGGGGAACGCAGAGGAGCAAAGCUUACAGCCCCCCAAGAAACGUGACGCACCUCCAUCUGCCAGACGACAUCACCACCACCACUGCUGCCAGUCUAUUUAACAGUCACCCGAUAGGCAAAACAGAUAUGCAUUUAAAUUAAAUGUAACUAAAUUAUAUGUUGUGAAUUGCAGCACAAUAUGUUGUACUCAUUUCAUUCGUUCAAUUAAAUUCCAUUCAAGUUGUUAGAAUGUGAAUCAUGGAGGUGUUCUCCAGAAGAUUCCCCAAAGCAGAACAGGCGUAAUCUUCCCGUGGCAUCCUGGCCAAUCGGACGGCUGCAGCUCUCCCAAAGAGAUUGGAUACCUCAGGACCGGAGGGAGAGAGAGACUCGACUUUUAACCCCUUGUGUAGCACCCCCUUUUUAAACACAAGCCUGAACAUGACAUACCUAAAAUUAAAUGGUUACUAUUCUUGAA